rnacentral:rRNA from 1 species
UACGAAGGGAGCUAGCGUUGUUCGGAAUCACUGGGCGUAAAGCGCACGUAGGCGGAUUUGUCAGUCAGGGGUGAAAUCCCGGGGCUCAACCUCGGAACUGCCUUUGAUACAGCAAGUCUUGAGUUCGGGAGAGGGAAGCGGAAUUCCGGGUGUAGCGGUGAAAUGCGCAGAUAUCCGGAGGAACACCGGUGGCGAAGGCGGCUUCCUGGACCGACACUGACGCUGAGGCGCGAAAGCUAGGGGAGCAAACGGG